AGUCAAAAAAGGUUUCAUGAGGAUAAAAUUUAACUCCAGUCUCGAUAUGUCAGAUCCAGCAGAGAGGAACAACAUUCUUAAUGAGCUGAAGACCGCUUUGACUUCUAAAGGAUUCUCUGUUCUCAUAUUGACCUGGACAAAACUCCCUCAGAAGGUCAAAGUGGGGACUUAGGUCCAUGUGUUAUGGGCAAUUACUGAAUGAACAGACUGUCUUUGGAGAAGGAAAGAAACAUAUUUUUCUUGUGAUAGAUCUAAGUAGAAACAUGCAUUCCACAU